AAAUUGAAGAGUUUGAUCAUGGCUCAGAUUGAACGCUGGCGGCAGGCCUAACACAUGCAAGUCGAACGGUAACAGGAAACAGCUUGCUGUUUCGCUGACGAGUGGCGGACGGGUGAGUAAUGUCUGGGAAACUGCCUGAUGGAGGGGGAUAACUACUGGAAACGGUAGCUAAUACCGCAUAAUGUCGCAAGACCAAAGAGGGGGACCUUCGGGCCUCUUGCCAUCGGAUGUGCCCAGAUGGGAUUAGCUAGUAGGU
rnacentral:rRNA from 1 species